UACGUAGGGUGCGAGCGUUAAUCGGAAUUACUGGGCGUAAAGCGUGCGCAGGCGGUUUUGUAAGCCAGGUGUGAAAUCCCCGGGCUCAACCUGGGAAUGGCAUUUGGGACUGCAAGGCUGGAGUGCGGCAGAGGAGACUGGAAUUCCUGGUGUAGCAGUGAAAUGCGUAGAUAUCAGGAGGAACACCGGUGGCGAAGGCGGCAUCCUGGACCAAUACUGACACUGGAGGAGCGAAAGCCAGGGGAGCAAACGGG
rnacentral:rRNA from 1 species